rnacentral:rRNA from 1 species
UACAGAGGGUGCGAGCGUUAAUCGGAAUUACUGGGCGUAAAGCGUGCGUAGACGGUUAUUUAAGUCGGAUGUGAAAUCCCCGGGCUCAACCCGGGAACUGCGUCCGAGACUGAAAGGCUUGAAUCCGGGAGAGGGAUGUGGAAUUCCAGGUGUAGCGGUGAAAUGCGUAGAUAUCUGGAGGAACAUCGGUGGCGAAGGCGGCAUCCUGGACCGGUAUUGACGCUGAGGCGCGAAAGCCAGGGGAGCAAACGGG